rnacentral:rRNA from 1 species
UACGGGGGGGGCAAGCGUUGUUCGGAAUUACUGGGCGUAAAGGGCUCGUAGGCGGCCAACUAAGUCGGAUGUGAAAUCCCCAAGCUUAACUUGGGAACUGCAUCCGAUACUGGAUGGCUUGAAUCCGGGAGAGGGAUGCAGAAUUCCAGGUGUAGCGGCGAAAUGCGUAGAUAUCUGGAGGAAUACCGGUGGCGAAGGCGGCAUCCUGGACCGGCAUUGACGCUGAGGAGCGAAAGCUAGGGGAGCAAACGGG